rnacentral:lncRNA from 1 species
UUCCUUAAAUAAGGUAAAAGAAAAUGUAACUCUAAAUGAAGUGAUUGAUAUAUUUGACUAUACUAGAAUGCAUUCACCAAAAAACACCAUUUACAAAAACAAAAAGCCUGUAGAGUUGGGAAAUAUAUUAAUUCAUAUAACCGUCAAAGGACAGGUGUCCAGGUAUGUAAAGUACUUCUGUAUACCAAAGAAAAGGAACACCCAAUAGAAAAAUGGGCAAAAACCUUAAUGAAGCACUUCAUAAAAGAAAAAAUUAUCUAAUAAACAUACAGAGAAGUGCUUUAUCUCAUUCUGUAAAACUCUGCAUAGGUUCGGAAUUGGCCAUGGCGAAGUGUUAACUGUGCUGCUGUCUAAUGUGGAAUGUAGUGGCAGAUGAACCUGGGAAGAGGAGAAACAAGAAAAGGGCUGAAAGGGGGAAGAGAUGGUAGAAGAAAAAAAAUACGUUGGAUACAGUGGAACCACCAGGUGGCGCCACGCUACAAUAUGACUCUUGGAAGUCUCCUUUUAAAGAGAGAGCAAGGUAAUUUCUUAGUCGUCAUUGCAGAUGUUUCUGCAGCCAAUAGUGAAAUAUUUGACAAAAUUGAAGCAUUUCCAAACCAGGAAAUGUCAUAGAAUUUUAGGUUCUAGUUGGAUAAUCUUUGGAUAACAGUGAAUGAUAGUAUGGUAUUAGCAAUACUCUAAUAUGUAUAUUGUUUGUAAAUGUGGGCAUAGGAUUUGCAAUACUCAGUAAGCAUUGGAUUUUUUCAGGGACCACAAGAGAAACCUACCAGAAAAUACAAAUGGUCCAACUCUGAAUGGGAAUGAAAAACAUACCUGUACAAAAUAUGCACUAAAAAAAAAAAAUCAGAAGUCUAACAAUAUAUAUUGAACAACUGUGUAUUACAAAGACUCCCUGGCAAGUUCUCAUCUGUUCUGACCAGUUGGUAUUUUCAGCGUUCUUCUUUCACUUUGGCCAUUUUGGUUGUUACCCAGAACUUCCAAUAUAAUGAAUAGAAGUGAUGAUAGAGAAAAACUGUCAACAAUAAAUACACUGUGUGCAUCUAUCCACAAGAUCUCUGAAGAGAUCAGGUGUCCAAGCUUUGGCCCAGCAAACACAUUCUAGAAACUUCUUGCCAGAGAAGCAGCCAUUCUCAGCUCAGAAUGUUUUGUGGCAAUUCUCAUAAAACAAAACCUAACUCACCUAUUCUCAGUAUUCGACCAGCAGAACACCUCACUUACCUGUGCACAUGAUCUAAUGCAACGAAGAGUCCCUAACAGGUUACACCUGGUGAGUAUGCAGACGUAGAGAUCUUCUUUGUCUUAAAACAGGUUUUAGCUGUGGCACGGACAUUUUGGACCCAAUCAAUCUUUGUGGUGGGGGCUGUCCUGUACAUCACAGCAUAUUUACCAGCAUCCCUACUUUCCACUCCCCAGAGCCUGCACCACCCCCUCCUCAAGCUGUGAUGACCAAAACUGUCUCCUGACAUUGCUCUAAUGUCUCCAUGGGGAGCAAAAUCACUCCCUAUGGGAACCAGUGUCAUAAACCAUUUUAGAGGCAAACUACAAACUAACUCCCCAAACUGUGAUGGUGGAAAUAGUCUAUAACUUCCUAAUACAGCAGCUGAUCACUACAUGACACUGCUAAGCACCUGAAAUGUGGCUAAGUAUGAGGAGAAUUCUUAAUUUAAUUUCAUUUUAAUUAAGUCCUACAUAUACUAUAAGGACAAGAUGCUUCAUCAUGGAAAGCUGUGUAGAUAUCUGAUACCUCUGUUAAAAAUCAUGUGGUUGAUAGGCAAUAAAAACUUACAGAAAGGGUUUCACCAUGUUGUCCAGGCUGGUCUCAAACUAUCCACCCACCUCCAUCUCCAAAAGAGCUGGGAUUACAGUUGUGAGUCACUGCACCAGGCAUAAAUGUUUUAUUAGUCCUAUUUCUAUCCAUUUAAUUUUCAUUCUGACUAGGUAUUUGUUAAAUUAAGAGGUGAACUGUGAAGUUAAAGAUUACAAUGAUAGAAAUUUAAAUUCUCUUUUAAAUCAAAAAGUUUUAAGUUGUUUUUUGCAUGAUAGGAAUCAUGACUGAAAAUAUAAGAAUGCAAAAAAGGUGCUCUAACUGAAUUCUGGUAAAUAAUUCCUUCCUUGAAAGAAAAGAAAAACUAAACAAAAUUUAAAGGAAAGGCCAACCAGGAUUGAAAGAAAACAUUUAUUGAAUCAAAAUCAAUACUUUCUUUUUAGUAUCUACAAGCCAACACAGAACUCAUUUUAUUCAAGAAUGAACACAAUGUACAAAAAAAGUAUGCUUAUAUUAUAAAAAUAUGUCAAUUUUAUCUUCUGGGUGCUUAGCAGAAGUCAUUUUAAACAAAAUCAAGGCAAACUUGUUCUCUAUAAUGAGUCUGCUAUAAUUUAACAACAAAGUGAAAGCUAAUGUACUUACGAAGUAUUUUUAAAGGCCCACUGAUAAUGCUGCACUGGAAAUGCUAAACCCAAUGUUAACUAAAGUCAACAUUUCCGCUCUACGCUUACUGGCACCACUUCAUGCCUACAUCAUGGGAAAGUACCUCUUUUACAGAAUGCAGAUCACUGCUAACAAUCCACAUGACUAAGUCUUCAGUUUCCCUUGCUUAACAUUUGUUAGCAUAUAUUUCAGCAAAGAUUAACAGUAUAAUGAAUGUUGAGUAGUAAAAUCCUAUUUAAUUCGCUUCAAUUUAAAAAUGAGAUAUGCUGCUAUGGGGAACAAAUGACCUCUUGAGAUUUACAACCCCCUUUAUAAAAGUGGGAAAGCUGCCUCCCUAAAAAAAAUUAUGUCCAAGGUUAAUACCGUAUCUUUUUUUGUAGUUUUCUUAUUUCUUGAUUUUAUUGGCACCUCCCAGGCACUUUGGCAUGUGCUCCUGUAUAAAGUGUAGUUACUGUGCCUGUAGAGUUAGUGGCAGCUGCAGAGUAGUUAUAGGCUGACAAGUCCACUUUUGGCUUACCAUGGAGAUCUGCUCCAACACAUGCUGGUCGUUGGAGCAGCAAAAAAAAAAAAAAAAAAAAAAAAAACAGCGAUUU